rnacentral:misc_RNA from 1 species
UUUUAAUUCGUGUUUUGAAUGGCUUACCACUUUCUUGUGUUGGCUGAUAAUUACUAAUUUACUUAGCAUAAACAUAGUAUGAAUGUUAUAGAUGUAGUGUUUUUAUGCAUCAGAUUUUAUUCUUAGCUAGAAAGGACUCAUGUAUAAGCCAUACUAUGCAGUCCUUAUCUUUUCUUCACUGUUAGCUAGAAUUAUGAUUCGAUUCAAUUCAAUUCUUUAUCCAAGUGAUUCGAAUCUAUGAGUGAAUCACAAAUGUACUUGAAUCGUGACCAAAAUAAAUUGGGUGAAUCUAUAUAAAUCAAUCCGAAUCAAUUAUUUUUAUAAAGGUUAUUAAUUUAAGAUUAAAGUUCAACUAGUUUGGAAUUAAGGGUUAGUUGCUGUUGUGAUUGUUACUUAAUUAUAGUAUAUUAAUAUAUUUUGGCCUUUUAAUUUAACUCACUAUCUUUUUUUAUUAUUUAAUUAUCUGAUGAAAUUUAAAUUGGAGUUUCAACACAUGCACAAUGA